GGUUUAUUAUUUUUUUCCCUGUGAAUGGGCCAUACUUUCCUGUUUCUUUAUGCCUUAUGAUUUUGUUGUUGUUUUUGAAAAUGGGCAUUUGACUCUUGUAAUGUGGUAACUAUGGAAAUCACAUUUUCCCCCUUCCCCAGGGUUUGCUGGGGGUUUUGUUGUUGUUGUUGUUGUUAUUCUUGUAGGUUGUCUCUGUGCUGGGGAUCAGCCUGAAGUGAAAGCUUAAAGUCAUCUCAGAUCUUUUCUGAGCUUACAUCUUCCCCUGGGCUUGUGAAUGACUUUCUAAAUUCCCCUGUAUUGUCAGCUAAAGAUGUUCAGAUGGUCCAGCCUCCAUCAGCCAUGGCGUCUGAAGGGACUGGGUGGAGUAGAGCUCUCCACCAACCCACAUGGACAUGUAGCAUGAACAAAAAGAAAAUUUCGUUAAGCCACUGAGAUUCCAGAAUUCUCUUGUUAUAUAGCAUAACCUAACUUAUCCCAAUUAAUACAUCCCACUAGAAUGUAAGCUCCAGUAGGGCAGGGACUUAGCCUGGAUCCUUAGUUCCUGGUGCAAGAUGGGAGAACUGAAGCUUAGCAAGUCUCAGCAACUUGCCUAAGGUCCUG
rnacentral:lncRNA from 1 species